CACUUGGGUUGAUGAUUUUCAAUACGAUUUCAUUUAAGAAGUUAGUUGCUUCUUUCAGCUUACCAACAAUGAAGCCACACAAUCAAGAAUUACAAGUGGCAACAUUAACAAAAAUCCCUUUGACAACCAUUUUAGGAAAAAAAACCAUACAAGUUUAUGUUUACAUAAAGUCAAUAAUUGUGUUGUACAUUAUCACAUUAGAGUC
rnacentral:pre_miRNA from 1 species